ACCGGAGCUAAUACCGGAUAAUAUAUUGAACCGCAUGGUUCAAUAGUGAAAGACGGUUUUGCUGUCACUUAUAGAUGGAUCCGCGUCGCAUUAGCUAGUUGGUAAGGUAAUGGCUUACCAAGGCAACGAUGCGUAGCCGACCUGAGAGGGUGAUCGGCCACACUGGAACUGAGACACGGUCCAG
rnacentral:rRNA from 1 species